GAUGAACGCUGGCGGCGUGCUUAACACAUGCAAGUCGAGCGAAGCGCUUAAGUUUGAUUCUUCGGAUGAAGACUUUUGUGACUGAGCGGCGACGGGUGAGUAACGCGUGGGUAACCUGCCUCAUACAGGGGGAUAACAGUUAGAAAUGACUGCUAAUACCGCAUAAGCCCACAGGUCGGCAUCGACCAGAGGGAAAAGGAGCAAUCCGCUUUGAGAUGGCCUUGCGUCCGAUUAGCUAGUUGGUGAGGUAACGGCCCACCAAGGCGACGAUCGGUAGCCGGACUGAGAGGUUGAACGGCCACAUUGGGACUGAGACACGGCCCAG
rnacentral:rRNA from 1 species